CCUACGGGAGGCAGCAGUGAGGAAUAUUGGUCAAUGGACGAGAGUCUGAACCAGCCAAGUAGCGUGAAGGAUGACUGCCCUAUGGGUUGUAAACUUCUUUUAUAUGGGAAUAAAACGUUCCACGUGUGGGAUUUUGUAUGUACCAUAUGAAUAAGGAUCGGCUAACUCCGUGCCAGCAGCCGCGGUAAUACGGAGGAUCCGAGCGUUAUCCGGAUUUAUUGGGUUUAAAGGGAGCGUAGGUGGAUUGUUAAGUCAGUUGUGAAAGUUUGCGGCUCAACCGUAAAAUUACAGUUGAAACUGGCAGUCUUGAGUACAGUAGAGGUGGGCGGAAUUCGUGGUGUAGCGGUGAAAUGCUUAGAUAUCACGAAGAACUCCGAUUGCGAAGGCAGUUCACUGGACUGCAACUGACACUGAGGCUCGAAAGUGUGGGUAUCAAACAGGAUUAGAUACCCUUGUAGUC
rnacentral:rRNA from 1 species